rnacentral:rRNA from 1 species
CCUACGGGAGGCAGCAGUAGGGAAUAUUGCUCAAUGGGGGAAACCCUGAAGCAGCAACGCCGCGUGGAGGAUGAAGGUUUUCGGAUUGUAAACUUCUUUUGUUAGAGAAGAGAAUGACGGUAUCUAACGAAUAAUCACCUGCUAACUCCUUGCCAUCAGCCGCUGCAAUACGGUGGGGGCAAGCGUUAUCCGGAAUCACUGGGCGUAAAGAGCGCGUAGGCGGGAUAGCAAGUCAGAUGUGAAAUCCUAUGGCUUAACCCUAGAACUGCAUUUGAAACUGUUAUUCUAGAGUAUGGGAGAGGUAGGUGGAAUUCUUGGUGUAGCGGUGAAAUCCGUAGAGAUCAAGAGGAAUACUCAUUGCGAAGGCGACCUGCUAGAACAUAACUGACGCUGAUGCGCGAAAGCGUGGGGAGCAAACAGGAUUAGAUACCCCGGUAGUC